rnacentral:rRNA from 1 species
AUUGAACGCUGGCGGCAUGCCUUACACAUGCAAGUCGAACGGCAGCACGGGUGCUUGCACCUGGUGGCGAGUGGCGAACGGGUGAGUAAUACAUCGGAACAUGUCCUGUAGUGGGGGAUAGCCCGGCGAAAGCCGGAUUAAUACCGCAUACGAUCCACGGAUGAAAGCGGGGGACCUUCGGGCCUCGCGCUAUAGGGUUGGCCGAUGGCUGAUUAGCUAGUUGGUGGGGUAAAGGCCUACCAAGGCGACGAUCAGUAGCUGGUCUGAGAGGACGACCAGCCACACUGGGACUGAGACACGGCCCAGACUCCUACGGGAGGCAGCAGUGGGGAAUUUUGGACAAUGGGCGAAAGCCUGAUCCAGCAAUGCCGCGUGUGUGAAGAGGGCCUUCGGGUUGUAAAGCACUUUUGUCCGGAAAGAAAUCCUUGACUCUAAUACAGUCGGGGGAUGACGGUACCGGAAGAAUAAGCACCGGCUAACUACGUG